rnacentral:sRNA from 1 species
AGCGGCCGCGGGCUAGCAACCUCCCGGAGCCGGCGGCGCACCACCAUGACCCAGUCGGUGGUCGUACAGGUCGGCCAGUGCGGAAACCAGAUCGGCUGCUGCUUCUGGGACCUGGCACUACGGGAGCACGCCGCGGUCAACCAGAAAGGAAUUUAUGAUGAGGCAAUAAGCAGCUUCUUUAGAAAUGUGGACACCAGAGUGGUUGGUGAUGGUGGAAGUAUUUCCAAGGGAAAAAUAUGUUCUUUAAAAGCAAGAGCUGUCUUGAUUGAUAUGGAAGAAGGGGUAGUGAAUGAAAUUCUGCAGGGACCACUGAGAGAUGUAUUUGAUACGAAACAGCUCAUCACUGAUAUUUCUGGCUCAGGAAAUAAUUGGGCUGUGGGUCACAAAGUUUUCGGCAGUCUUUACCAAGACCAGAUUUUAGAGAAACUCAGAAAGUCGGCAGAGCACUGUGAUUGCUUGCAGUGUUUCUUUAUAAUACAUUCCAUGGGAGGAGGUAAAAUUUUUCACUCAUUUGCAUGUAACAGUGUUAAAGUAUAAGUGGGAAUUCAUUUUGCAAACAUAAGUCUUGUUUUUAGACCUGUGCUUGAUAAAGAUAGAACUAUUCGGAGGGUGUAUAGUUUGAGUAUAUAAACAUACACCUUUUUGUCUUAAAAUUUUGUGGAAUUAUGUCACUAUUUUCUUUUUUUUUUUUUUUUUUUUUUAAUCCCUCUUAAGAGUC